rnacentral:rRNA from 1 species
UUCCGACGUGAGAGGCGAAAGCGGGGGAGCGAACCGGAUAGAUACCCGGGUAGUCCCCGGCUGUAAACGAUGCGGGCUAGGUGUUGGGCGGGCUUUGAGCCCGCCCAGUGCCGCAGGGAAGCCGUUAAGCCCGCCGCCUGGGGAGUACGGCCGCAAGGCUGAAACUUAAAGGAAUUGGCGGGGGAGCACCACAAGGGGUGGAGCCUGCGGCUUAAUUGGAGUCAACGCCGGGAAUCUUACCGGGGGCGACAGCAGGAUGACGGCCAGGCUAACGACCUUGCCCGACACGCUGAGAGGAGGUGCAUGGCCGUCGCCAGCUCGUGCCGUGAGGCGUCCGGUUAAGUCCGGCAACGAGCGAGAUCCCCACCCCCAGUUGCUAUCCCGGUCUCCGGAUCGGGAGCACACUGGGGAGACUGCCGCCGAUAAGGCGGAGGAAGGAGGGGGCCACGGCAGGUCAGCAUGCCCCGAAUCCCCCGGGCUGCACGCGGGCUACAAUGGCGGGGACAGCGGGUGCCGACCCCGAAAGGGGGAGGUAAUCCCUGAAACCCCGCUGUGGUUGGGAUCGAGGGCUGAAAUUCGCCCUCGUGAACGUGGAAUCCCUAGUAACCGCGCGUCACAUCGCGCGGUGAUA